rnacentral:lncRNA from 1 species
UUAUUCAUAGUUUAAAUGAAGAACCUUAUUACAUUUGGAGAGAAGGAGAAGAAAUAGCAUACUUAUUUUAAAGACUGACCAAUGAAAAAAUGAUUCCUUGAGCUAUAGUUUUUGUGUGAAACUAAUUUAUAAGUACUUUUUUCCAUGCAUUUAUUCAUGGAAUGAACUGUCCCUUUGUCUCUUCCCCAUACUAUCUAGUUUGCUCUGUAUUCUUGAGAGUUUUAGGAUAGAGCUGUAGGAUAAAUUACAUAUUGUUGGCUUAUAUAAUCCAAUAAUAAAAUAACAUUACACAGUGAGAUUUUUGGUGCCAGGGCUUGGUAAACUUUUGUGGUGUAGAGUAUUAAACUCCCAGAAUAGAUAUUUAUAGUAUAAUUACCAUCAAAUCCCAAGAAAAUGAUACUGUAUUUCAAUAUAAUUGAAUAAUUCAAUAUAAUUGAUAGUCUUUUUUAAUGACAAAUUUUAGCCUUUCCCAGGGAAAGAACAGAUUUUAAAAGCUUUUAAUGAAUAAAAAGAACUGCAUAUUGUUAUCAUUCUGACAAAGUAGUUUAAUUCCCCUCUUCCUUUCCUCUUCAUAAUAAAUUGUGGAACUUUAAAGAAAUGAGAUUUGGGGGGGGCAUAAGGUGGUUAUAUUUUGUUCUUUUUAAAACUGAUUAAUAAUUUGAUAUUAAUCUUUGUCAAAUCUAGGUAAGGUUUGAAAGUCACAUUCACCUUGAUAACUUGUGUUUGAGGUUGCCAAAAAUUGUCUUCUAUAAAUGAAAACACAAGAUAAAAUUAUUCUCAUAUAAAAGUUAGUGUAUACUCUAGUACACAUGGUUCUAAAGGUGAAACUUCAGCAUCAAAUGCAUAUUUAGUUAAUUUGAGGAAAAUAUACCUGAGUUCUUUGUGACCUCUAGAAAAUUUUUCCUCCCAAAGUAGUAUCAACUUAAAUUGAAACAGGAUCACUAAUAACCCCUCUGCAGACCUACCCUUUUGACUUAGAAAAUCAUAUAAAAACAUCUAUAUUCUAUUAUAUUUUUAUUUAUUUUGUUAAAUAUUUGCCAAUUUCAGUUUUAAUCUGGUUCAGCAUCUGGGGGGUUAUGUGUUUCACACUUCUGAUCCAAAAUCUAAAAAGUUUUAGGGCAUUAGGUUGCUAUUUAGGGAAUUGCUAUUAUUGUUAUCAGAUGUUAUUCUCAUCAGAUAAUGUUUUCUACUUUCACUGCCUCUCAAGAUAAAUUAAAAUCCUUACAGAAGUCUCUCACCAGGACCUGAGGCUUUCUCAGAUUCCAAGGCAGUAGUUAAUCUCAGGCACUGUGGUUUUUCUCUUUCAAAUCUGGACCACAGUUCACCAACAUCUGUGCCAUAGGGUAACAUUAGGGAGGUAAUUAGCCCCUGUAUCCCCUGUUAAAUAGUUUAUUCUUUUAGAAAAGGUUAAGUAUUAAUUUCUUUGAAGCCAUUUGUAUUCAUUCUGUCUGGAAUUGGGCAUGGAAUAAAUUUUCUAAGUGGCACAAUACCAGUGUCCAUGACUGCAUUGGGAGUAAGGAGAUUAUGACCUUAAGCUAGAACUCUUCCCCUCUGUUCUUUUUAGUUUCCUCAUCUGUUAAAGAAGAGGAUUAGAUUUGUUAACUAAUCUUUCCAAAUUAAGCUCUUGUGUUACUAUGCGUAUGUGGUAGCAUAUCCAGUAGUGCUAUUAUUGCAGAAUAGAAAAUGGAAUCAUAUACUUUGUAGUAAGCAAAUUUCAGGCAGAUGUUAGUAAUCUAUCAUUUCCCGUGAAAGUGAUCUCUUCUGAAAUAAUUUUUUUUUCACUUUUACAGAAGGCCAAGAUCCACAUUUAAGCUUAGAUCAAGACUUACCCUAAAUCUUACAUGUCUAAUGAAAGCAGACAAGUGGACCUAUGGAAAAUAUAUUCCUUUACCUUUGUGUUUUAGAGAAGAGUAACUGAAAAAAAAGUCAUUGUCCAGGAGAAAAGAUAAUGAAAUAUACCUCUCUCCAGACUUGUGCCUUAGGAAACAGCUUUGUGAAUAGCUUAUAGUGUGUCAAGAGUGUUAGGUAGUCCAGAGAUGAGAAAAGGAGAGAAGAAGAAAAUUGUUAAAUGUGCCUUGGGGCAGUAUAAAAUUUGAAACUAAGAAAAAAUUGAAAGAAUACAAUUUUUUUCUUUCCCUGGAUUAAUCAAAUGUCUUAUUUAUCAGCCAAACUGAGAAAUUCUUUUUAAAUACGUGAGCAAAGUCAUAAUGCCUCCUUCCUGCUCAACCUUCUUACUACAUCUCAACCAAACUUUCCAAUUCACAAGGCCAUAGGGCAAUAAUGCACAGAAAUGCUAUUUCUCUCUUUCUGAAUAGCAAAUAAGGAAGUAGGGGUGUUUCUAGUAAAUUGUUUUUUGAAUUUUUUAUUUUCUGAUUUUUUUCUGAAUUCUUUAUUCCUAAUUUUAUUGUCAUCUUUAUCUGAUCUCUUUUCCCCCUAAUAUUAUUAUAUACAUUUACAUAUUUGAUGUGCAGUACACAUCAUUUCCCCCCUUAAUCUUGCUUUCUUGAGAUUUUACAAACAUGUUGAUCUUUUUCCUCUGUGUAGCCAAUCCUUUUUCAUUCCCUUUAAUAAGAUACGUGUGUCAGUAAAAGGAAAAUUUUAAAAGUCUUUUAUUUUCCCAUUAGAAAAACUGUUUCUGCUAAGGAUGUUUUUGAGGACUGAACUGAUACUUCCAAACUUGUGCCCAAAGUUUGGAUCCCAUAACUUAUAAAACAGGAUUCCAUUCUCCAGGGAAAUUAGAGGAACAAGCCUCUGAAUCUUAUUGGUACUGUCUUUUCACAAGGCUGAUUGCUAGUGGCUGUGUCAUGAUGUUGAGAGUGUUUAUACAGAUUAAGAAAUACCAGCAUGCCCUUUUACACUUUUUUUCCCUCCCAACUGAAAAUAAUGCAUCCUCUUAACUUCAUUAAAUAUAGUCCUGGGGAAUUAAAUUAUAUUAAUGCUAUAAAUUGAUAACUGACAUCAUAGAUUGAUAAAGUAGGUUAUGUGCUAAAAUCUGAAAGUCACACUACAAUGUCGCUUUAUGUGAUGACACAAAGUGGAUUGUAUUUUCUUUACUCCAAGAAAUUACCUGCUGUGCUUCCUUCAGUUUUUAGUGCCCACAGGGGGAAAAAAAGCUUCCUUUUUGCUGGAGUUAAAAUAUUGCUUAAACAAAAAUCUACUUAGUCUGAAAUAUUUUUUAUUGACGUAACCUCACAUUGCUAUGUAGUAAAUUAGAUUAAAUCAAUUAAAUCAUUUUGCAUGACUAGCAGUAGAAAAGUGCUUCACUGUGUGGCCACUCUGUUAAUAACUUAACAAUUUUUUGAAGGGAUUGUUUGAUAUUUGUUGG